rnacentral:rRNA from 1 species
GGCUACUACGUGCCAGCAGCCGCGGUAAUACGUAGGUGGCAAGCGUUGUCCGGAUUUAUUGGGCGUAAGCGAGCGCAGGCGGAAGAAUAAGUCUGAUGUGAAAGCCCUCGGCUUAACCGAGGAACUGCAUCGGAAACUGUUUUUCUUGAGUGCAGAAGAGGAGAGUGGAACUCCAUGUGUAGCGGUGGAAUGCGUAGAUAUAUGGAAGAACACCAGUGGCGAAGGCGGCUCUCUGGUCUGCAACUGACGCUGAGGCUC